rnacentral:tRNA from 2 species
GCGCCCGUAGCUCAGUUGGAUAGAGCACUUGGCUACGAACUAAGGGGUCGGGAGUUCGAAUCUCUCCGGGCGCACCA